AGAGAUGUGUGAUGACGCAUAUCAAUAAGCGGAGGAAAAGAAACUAACAAGGAUUCCCUUAGUAACGGCGAGUGAAGCGGGAAGAGCUCAAAUUUGAAAUCUUCAAGGUUCUACCUUUACGAAUUGUAGUUUAAAGAAGUGUUUUCUGUUAGUGAGUGGCUAAAAGUUCUUUGGAAUAGGACAUCAUAGAGGGUGAGAAUCCCGUAUUUGGUCAUUCCUCCUAGCUGUUGUGAUACACUUUCAACGAGUCGGAUUGUUUGGGAAUGCAGUCCAAAAUGGGUGGUAAAUUUCAUCUAAAGCUAAAUAUUGGCGAGAGACCGAUAGCGAACAAGUACCGUGAGGGAAAGAUGAAAAGAACUUUGAAAAGAGAGUUAAACAGUACGUGAAAUUGUCAAAAGGGAAGCGUUUGACACCAGUGUUGUUUAGUUGAAAAUCAAUUAAAUAUUUUUCGAUUUUAAGUAGUAUUGACCUUAUCAGCUUGCUGCUUUUUUCUCGGAAAUUAUAUUAAUGCACUUUUCAGUUAACAAGUCAACAUCAAUUUCUUUUGUUGUAAAAAGGUAAGAGGAAGGUGGCUUGCGCUUCGGCUCAAGUGUUUAUAGCCUUUUACCCCUGCAAUCGGAGAGAUUGAGGUCUGCAGCGUAGAUCCUUCGGGGUUAGAUACAUUUGUGCUAAGCUAUAGCCUUGUAUAGACAACUUGUUGACUAUGCUCAGUCAUGUAGCUUACUCGCUUAUGCUAUUUUACCUACGCUUAGGAUGUUGACAGCAGUAUAGACUG
rnacentral:rRNA from 1 species